AAGACUUUCCUCCGCUCAAGACUGCUAGCCCGUAUGCUAACGCGGGAAACAAGUUAGCUUUCCACAGCUAGCUAAGCUGCUAGCCCUAGUAUGGAGGAUACAUCAAAGUUGGCCACAGAGACUGAACCUUCCCUCGGUGAUGUUUUAACCACCAUAAGGAACCUGGACAACAAGAUGAAUCCAUUCCACAAGCAAGAAAGCAUUUCAGGACAGAGCCCAUGAGGACCUCCAUUACCCGCAUGGCACAGCGGAUGGACACAUUUGAGGAAAAGAUGGAUGAGCUGCUCAUGCUCUUAAGGAGCUCCCAGUCACCUCCCUCUGCUCCAG